UCAGAACUUAAAGGCAUUGACGGGGCCCGCACAAGCGGUGGAGCAUGUGGUUUAAUUCGAUGAUACGCGAGGAACCUUACCUGGGCUCAAAUGUAUGUUGACGUAUUUCUGAAAGGAUACUUCUUCGGACAAUAUACAAGGUGCUGCAUGGUUGUCGUCAGCUCGUGCCGUGAGGUGUCGGGUUAAGUCCCAUAACGAGCGCAACCCCUACCUUUAGUUGCCAUCAGGUUAAGCUGGGGACUCUAAAGGAACUGCCUACGCAAGUAGUGAGGAAGGCGGGGAUGACGUCAAAUCAGCACGGCCCUUACGUCCAGGGCUACACACGUGCUACAAUGGCCGAUACAGAGGGCAGCUACCUGGUGACAGGAUGCAAAUCUCCAAAGUCGGUCUCAGUUCGGAUCGGAGUCUGCAACCCGACUCCGUGAAGUUGGAUUCGCUAGUAAUCGCGCAUCAGCCAUGGCGCGGUGAAUACGUUCCCGGGCCUU
rnacentral:rRNA from 1 species